rnacentral:rRNA from 1 species
AGAGUUUGAUCCUGGCUCAGGAUGAACGCUGGCGGCGUACUUAACACAUGCAAGUCGAACGAGCCUUCGGGCUAGUGGCGGACGGGUGAGUAACGCGUGAGAAUCUGCCCUCAGGAGGGGGAUAACGGCUGGAAACGGCCGCUAAUACCCCAUAUGCCGCGAGGUGAAACGAGUUUUCGCCUGAGGAUGAGCUCGCGUCUGAUUAGCUAGUUGGUGGGGUAAGAGCCUACCAAGGCAUCGAUCAGUAGCUGGUCUGAGAGGAUGAUCAGCCACACUGGGACUGAGACACGGCCCAGACUCCUACGGGAGGCAGCAGUGGGGAAUUUUCCGCAAUGGGCGCAAGCCUGACGGAGCAACGCCGCGUGAGGGAUGAAGGCCUCUGGGCUGUAAACCUCUUUUCUCAAGGAAGAAGAACUGACGGUACUUGAGGAAUAAGCCACGGCUAAUUCCGUGCCAGCAGCCGCGGUAAUACGGGAGUGGCAAGCGUUAUCCGGAAUUAUUGGGCGUAAAGCGUCCGCAGGCGGUCUUGAAAGUCUGUUGUUAAAGCGUGGAGCUCAACUCAAUUCCAGCAAUGGAAACUAGAAGACUAGAGUGUGGUAGGGGCAGAGGGAAUUCCCGGUGUAGCGGUGAAAUGCGUAGAUAUCGGGAAGAACACCAGUGGCGAAGGCGCUCUGCUGGGCCAUAACUGACGCUCAUGGACGAAAGCCAGGGGAGCGAAAGGGAUUAGAUACCCCUGUAGUCCUGGCCGUAAACGAUGAACACUAGGUGUCGGGGGAAUCGACCCCCUCGGUGUCGUAGCUAACGCGUUAAGUGUUCCGCCUGGGGAGUACGCACGCAAGUGUGAAACUCAAAGGAAUUGACGGGGGUCCGCACAAGCGGUGGAGUAUGUGGUUUAAUUCGAUGCAACGCGAAGAACCUUACCAGGGUUUGACAUCCUGCGAAUCCCUUGGAAACUUGGGAGUGCCUUCGGGAGCGCAGAGGCAGGUGGUGCAUGGCUGUCGUCAGCUCGUGUCGUGAGAUGUUGGGUUAAGUCCCGCAACGAGCGCAACCCACGUCUUUAGUUGCCAGCAUUGAGUUGGGCACUCUAGAGAGACCGCCGGUGAUAAACCGGAGGAAGGUGUGGAUGACGUCAAGUCAUCAUGCCCCUUACAUCCUGGGCUACACACGUACUACAAUGCUACGGACAAAGGGCAGCAACUCGCGAGAGCUAGCAAAUCCCAUAAACCGUGGCUCAGUUCAGAUCGUAGGCUGCAACUCGCCUACGUGAAGGAGGAAUCGCUAGUAAUCGCAGGUCAGCAUACUGCGGUGAAUACGUUCCCGGGCCUUGUACACACCGCCCGUCACACCAUGGAAGUUGGCCAUGCCCGAAGUCGUUACUCCAACCCUUGUGGAGGAGGACGCCGAAGGUGGGGCUGAUGACUGGGGUGAAGUCGUAACAAGGUA